rnacentral:rRNA from 1 species
UACGGAGGGGGCUAGCGUUGUUCGGAAUUACUGGGCGUAAAGGGCGCGUAGGCGGCCUUCUAAGUCAGACGUGAAAUCCCUCGGCUCAACCCGGGAACUGCGUCCGAAACUGGCAGGCUUGAAUCCGGGAGAGGGAUGUGGAAUUCCAGGUGUAGCGGUGAAAUGCGUAGAUAUCUGGAGGAACAUCGGUGGCGAAGGCGACAUCCUGGACCGGUAUUGACGCUGAGGCGCGAAAGCCAGGGGAGCAAACGGG